rnacentral:rRNA from 1 species
AUUGUACGCUGGCGGCAGGCCUAACACAUGCAAGUCGAACGAGUGGCGGACGGGUGAGUAAUGUCUGGGAAACUGCCAGAUGGAGGGGGAUAACUACUGGAAACGGUAGCUAAUACCGCAUACCAUCGGAUGUGCCCAGAUGGGAUUAGCUAGUAGGUGGGGUAAAGGCUAACCUAGGCGACGUUCCCUAGCUGGUCUGAGAGGAUGACCCGCCCCACUGGAACUGAGACACGGUCCAGACUCCUACGGGAGGCAGCAGUGGGGAAGUUUGCACAAUGGGCGCAAGCCUGAUGCAGCCAUGCCGCGUGUAUGAAGAAGGCCUUCGGGUUGUAAAGUACUUUCAGCGGGGAUGCGUUACCCGCAGAAGAAGCACCGGCGAACUCCGCGCCAGCCGCCGCGGUAAUUC